GCAAGGAAAAAAAGAUUCAGUAGUGCUCAUUGACCAGAGGGAACUUGUCACCGAGAGGAGCAUAUUAGAUCUCCAACGCCGGAGCAAUGUUGUGACCCAUGGCCAAGGCAUUGGCAGCAAAAUUUAUUUCUUGGAACGAGUGACGAGCAACACAUUCUCUUUUGCUGUAAAAGUAAAUGACAAUUCCGAAUCAAAACAGCUAAGGAAUGAUGAGAAAUGGAACCUGAUAGAAUAAGCCGAACUGUUGCAGGAGAAUUUGACUCUAAAAGGACCCCAUUUGCCAUCCCAAGCUAAAGUAAUCCCUAGACGAGUUGCUAACAGUUCAGCCGGAAGAUUAGGGCGAUGCCCAAACUUCAAGGAAAAUCCCACAAUGGCGAACCAAAGAAUUACGAAUAAGCAGCAGCGGUGGGCAAUGGGCAUAGCUCAAUGUUUGCUGCAUAUGUGUCGCAAUAAAUAGAAUCCCACAAGAAGCGAGGGACUCGAAGAGAAUUGAGGAUUGUCUUCGAAACUAAAGAGUAACGACUACAUAUAUUUGAGAUAGCCAUAUUCCGAGUUUGUCUACUAACAUAACAAAGAAGACAUUCGCAAGCAGUCAACCAGUGUUUAAAAAAAAAAAGGACUCCAAAGCAAUAACAUAAACAGUUCU
rnacentral:misc_RNA from 1 species